CACUUUGCUUUCCAGGGAGCUAGUUAGCCAUCUUUUCAUGCUUUCUCCUCUUUUUUUUUAUUCUUAUGUAUGUACAAUACUUUUCAAGACAAAUCUUUUUUUUCCAGACAGUACAUGUGUUUGUAACCAUUGUAUAAAAAGAAAAGAGAAGCGUAACAAUCCCUUAAAGUUCGUCCUUUGCUGCGAUCACGUUAAACAACCCCCCUGCCGGCGAUGCUAACGGUACUGAGCGCCCGCCCGGUGGUUUUUCGCAGUCGCAGCAAACGUUGCGCUUCAGGAUAUUGUUCCUAUAUAAUGACAUUUAAGUAGAAGCUUUAGUAAUAGAAGUUCCUAACAAAGAUGUGAUGGAUAAUUAUUUUUAAGCUGUCAUGAAAUUGAAACAGGACGGGGUUGAGUCCCCAAAAAAAUACUUAUUUUCUCCAGACCUGUUUUAACACAGUCGUUCCCGUGGAGGAUUUAUUUUUUUGGGGGAUUCAACCCUCCUCUCCCUCCUCCUCUGGUUCCCCACGAUGAAGACUUCACUCCACUGGCUACACACACACACAGUUUUCUGUUGACUACUGUUGCUCAGUCAGACACUGUCUCGCUCAGCGAUAACAGACCUCUGUUCACUUAACAAGAGAAAAAGGAAAACGCAAGACAAACUCAUUUCACAUUCACAGAAAACGUUACACACAAUCCUCCGGGGGAAGUCGGGGAGAAAAGGAUAAAACCCGCUGAGACGUCGCCUCUUAAUCAUCAAUUUUUCAGAUUCACGUACGAUCUGGCACGUUUUUUUUUACGCGUACGUCAAAGUUAAUGUAGCUCGACUACAUCUGGUUUGUUAUCGUACGCCCUCGCUACACGGGACGCGCUCUAUCAGGGAACGUCCAGCGAUUUCUCCUCUUGUCAAAUCAGCCCCGUUGUGCGUUUCUCCUCCAGAACAACGUCCGGACCUUCCCCGAUGGAGCGAGUCCCGUGUUAAUCCUCGUUCCUUUUUUUUUAUUUUAAAUCUUCCUUCUGUCACGAGACAAACCUCUGGAAGUGGAAUCUGUGGAGAGGGUUUUGCACACAACGCAAAAGGACCUCGCGUUCGGAUAUGAGUUCGACACGUUUCACACAACUACCUAAUUCAUCGCUCACGUUAGGUCAACGCCGCCUGAUGCUCCCGUCGGUGGAACAGGCCUUUUCCUGUGUACUGCGUUUUACAGCUGAGAUACUUCACCAUAUGCAACGUUACCCCGGAUAUAAAGAGGGAUAGUAUGCAAGGUCAACAUUCCACCCACCAGUCCAGUUUUGUAAAGAUGUGAGAAACCACUUUGUGUCCAGCUGGAACGCCCCCCCCCCCCAAACAGUCAACAUCUUCACUCUCAAUAAUCUAAAUUAAGACUGGACUCGAGCGGAUGCCUCAAAACAAACGACUGAGACGGCUUUUUAUUUCUUCUAUUUUUCUAUGUGUAUAUUUAUUAUAAAAGCAUGUGGAUAAAUCAUCAGUAGGCGUUUAACGAGCACCUUUCUAUUACCUCAUGACCUUUUCGUUUUGACCAAGUUUUCACACUGUGAGCAGCUUGUUGUUAGUGGUCGCUUUGGUUUUCAUCCACCUCAUCAGUGUUGAUUUGUGUCUUUACCUUCAUUACCUGCUCGUGCGGACUUUUCAUUUAGCGUCGCCGGCUUCCGAGCACUUCUUGUGUUAGAAAAAACUUUCAAAUCUUGGUCCUGUUUCUUUGAUAAAUGACAAACUAAUGAUCGACGACACAAUCGUUGGCAACUUUCGUCCCCAAAGAGACUUUUUCAAACCCGUUACUUUCCUUUAACCUCCACUGCAACCAUCGAGAUUUCUGUAAAACUCAGCGUUUUCUCAGUUUAAAAAAAACGUCCGUCUACCUCUGAUACAAGACCUCACUACUACUUCAGUUCUCAGACACGGUUUCCAUUCCACUUUCACUUUCUGUUAUUUCAAGAACCCGGGUUAAGGGAAAGUAAUCGGACGAAUAAAAUCCCUGUGUUGUCCGAACUGUAAGGCCUUCGUUGGGUCUAGCGCUUAAAUUCGUCCCCACGUUGCACUUGAGACAGAAGCACUUGAGUCAGGGGAACGAGGAGGCACAGAAGGGAUCUGAUGCCCGUGUCGGAUGGGUCGUGACCAGACGUCCUUCCUGCAGAGGGAUCUGGUUUCUCACAGUGUGAACGCAGGCGUCAGACGCUCCUGUGCCACUGUUUGGUCGAUGUCAAACUACUCAAAACGCUGCACAAAGUGGGAAGAAUGUAUUUUAGGAAGGUUCCUGUCCGUGUCCGCCUCCUCUCGUCUGCUCUGAUGCUUUCACACAUACAGUAUUGUGACCCCCCCACCUCCCCCCCCACUUCUCUGCGUGGAAUAGGCAUUCCUAUGGAAAUGGUUUCCUCUACAACUCUGUUAGAUGCAGGAACUCGACAGCACCUGUCGGCGUUUCCUGCGGCGACGCCGACACGACAACAUGCCAAAUACAACCAAUGCAUAUGUAAUGUUUUUUAUGCAACAGCCAUUCAGUGGAAGCGACAGUCCCUCCUCUCUCACUGCAACCAACAGGUACAAGGUUAGCUUCUUUUAUAACAUUGCUUUCGAGAUGUUAACAUAAUGUAUAUAACAGAGAAAUGUGAAUAUGUAUUUGUUCAGAAUCAACACACACAAAAAAAAAAAGUAGUGCUCCGAGUUUGUGGUAAAUAACUACUCGCCUCCGUCAUGUUUUUAUUUUAUGUUUUUGAUUUUCUACUUUUUUAUUUUUCUGAUGAUGUGUGUAUGUAUAUGACUAUCAGUGAGUGCGUAUGUAUGUGUGAUUAAUACUGUAUAUCUGGUGUUCUCUAAGAUGGAAAAGUGGAAGAUGUCCUGGUUUGAUUCUUUUCUUCUUUGACUCUUUAGACCCUGCACAGUACCUGUGGGCGUUUCAGAAAACUAUGCCAGAGAAUGGUUUAGCGACUGCUGAAUGUGAUUUUACUGAGAGAGAAGCAGUGUGGACUGGCUUUUUUUUGUACGGGUUAAUUUAAAAAAAAAAUGAAAAACACAGAAAAAAUGGCCAUAUUAUUUAAUUUUUCUCUGUUGUCAAAAGUUUAAGCAGAUCUGGGAGAGUGGAGCCUUGGUUUUGUUGGAGGGGCAUCGCCUGCCGGGCUUUUUUUAUUUUUAAAUUUUGUUUUCUAAGUGUCUGACUGAUGUAGCCUUGUUUUUGCAUUUCGUCAAUAGUUCAAUGACCAAAGCUUAAAGAUGUCGGAUGGAUUUCAGAUGCAAACCUCAUCACUGGACGGGACAUAAUGUAGCGGCCCUGCGUUCAUUUGGAUUUCCUCUCCUCUCUUUCCUCGCUUCGUUCGCCCGCCACACGCUCCCGGCCUCUAACGCGCGACACGCCCCCCAGUUCGGUCCGUUUAGAGGCGUCUCCCGCUUUGCCAAUGAGGUCUUUUUUCAGCCUGAAGUGCUAUCAAUUCGUUUACAGGUAGAAGGAAAACAUUGUUAGCUAUGCACCUUACAGCCGAUACAAGCAUUUCCUCACAUUGACGCAUGUAGAACCAACACUGGAGCGAAACCCCCCGAGUCAUUGAUUUCAUAGGCAACGAGUUUAUAGUUAACGUCACACACACACACACACACACACACGCCACGACCCCCCCUCGAGUGACUUCAGUCGACGUCCGACGACCUCUCAGCUUCUAACGCUUCUUUUUUUCCAUUCACUAAAUACUUUAUACCAAACUUGAGGUGCCUCGUGUAUAUAGUUUCUGCAGUGAAGGUUGCUCCUUCGCUGUUUAACAGUGAUGACCUUGUUAACCAGGGUUUUUUUAAAACCUUUUUUCACCUUUAUAAAAAAGAAGUUUACUGUAUUUUAAAUGACUUUUUUACUCACAUAGAAGAUUAAUCAAAUUAUUCCAGGAAUUUGCAAAUACAAUCUAAUUUUGCACUUUAUGUCGGAUUUACUUGGGAGUGAAAAGGCCGUCGCAAGCUUUCUCAAUCAGAUCAGUAAGAGUAACGUCCCCUGAAUGUACCAAGAAAAUGUACGUUUCAUUAGUUUGAUUUGAAAAUCGCUCAGGUUCUCGACGAAGAACUCGACAGUGGGAGAUACCCAUCAUCCAGAUGACGACUAAAAAUUGUAAACACACUUUACCUUCUUUGUAAUGUAGAUCUCUCUCUGUCUCUCUCUUUCUCUGUCGACACCAACCGAUCCUCAGUAUAACUACUAUGCCAGUCUUCUUCUUCAGGUGGCGUCCCCGCCCUCCGCUCUGCGCCGUCAGCUGACGCCAGGCGAUCUGUUAAAAAAAAACCUCCUCUUGCUUGAAUCUCAGAACAUUCCUGCUCACGACACAGUUUCAGCAACACGCUCGGCGUUUCCUCUCCCGCAGCUUCGGACGUGUUAUUAGUAAAAAGUCAAAAGUCUGUUUGUGCGACACUUUGCAACAAUUGUGCACUGUUGACAUAACCGACAACACUUACACCGUGUUGUUUGUCUCCUCUGUUUGCUUCUCUUGUCACACUUGUGCUGCAUAAUGUAGAAUAUUUAGCAGUGAGCUGAUACCAGGACCGGCUAAUGCCUGGUGUAGGUGUAGGACUGGGCCAAUGCCUGGUGUAGGUGUAGGAUCGGCCUAAUGCCUGGUGUAGGUGUAGGACUGGGCUAAUGUCUGGUGUAGGGUUGGGCUAAUGUCUGGUGUAGGUGUAGGACUGGGCUAAUGCCUGGUGUAGGUGUAGGACUGGGCCAAUGCCUGGUCUAGCUAAUCAUUUUCGAUGUCAGCAAAGUUCAUAGCAAAACAAAAAGUGAAGGAGGAUACAGUUCUCAAUUGUCAAAAUGUCCGUAUUCUCACCUGUCAUUGGUCCAGCGUGGUGCUCGUGCUCGUGCUCGUGCACGGCUGAGACGCUCCACGGUCCCUUAAAUCUUAACUCCCACUCAUUCCUCGUGCAAACGUUCGAAUCUUUGCUCUCCGUGAACCCGCGGCUUCAGUUGUCACGUUUCGUCAGUGCUGCCUUAUCGGGACUGAGGUGGGAAAUGGUUCGGAGAGUUUACCAGAAGGCUUCUUCUUCUUCUUCUUAUUAGUAACUCACCACUUUGUGUUGUCCCGGGGGGGCGAUGCUUCCUCCGGAGAAUUUGAGAGAAAAAAAAAGACCAAGGUUCCACUUUCUCCCUUGUACAAAUUAAUAUAAAUAAAUAUAUAUAUAUAAAUAUAUAUGAUACAUUUUACCCAUUUUUGUCCAGUUUUGUAUAUUACACUCAUGUAAAGUUUGUUUUUAAUGAGGCAUCGGAGCAGCUAUUACAAGACAAUAUGAGUGACAUUGUUCAUCUGGGAGAAUUUUAUGCAUGUUAUAUUUUCUCUUUUUCUCUCUCUGUCUCUUUUAAUGCCCCCCAACCCCCUGUCAAGGUGUGUAACGUGAAUAUAAAGAAAUCUACCUUUUCUUUGGAAUGUUGUAGACAAUCAGUCUCAGGCCGGGUCCAGCCCCUGCAGGCAGUGAGAGCCCUGCAGGCUGAUCGACAAACAAAACGCUCUUUUUGUUUGUUUGACAAUUAAAAACUCUCUUUGCAUCUACUGGAAGUCUAAAUUUGGAGGUUUGUUCAUCCAUAUGUUCGUGGCUGCUCAAGUUUACACGCACACAGACACACACACACACACACUCACAGACACACACUUCUCGACUACACUCAAAAUACAAACACCUCGUGCAUUUGAUCCCCCUGCUUUCUUUUCCAAGGUGAGGAUGCCAACCUUGAGGAAAUGAUGCUUUGACUAACAAAUCUAUAACAUCUAUGAAUGUGGGAAUGCAACACAUUGCAAUAAAAGCACCAUUUGAAAUGCA